UCGUCAGCUGGGCGGUGAGGGCGGCGCUGUUGGACAGCUUGUCCGUGGGCGUCUGCCCGAGCCGGGUGACCAGGGCGUUGCGCUCGCCCGCGGCGGC
rnacentral:tRNA from 1 species